rnacentral:rRNA from 1 species
GACGAACGCUGGCGGCGUGCUUAACACAUGCAAGUCGAACGGAAAGGCCUCUUUCGGGGGGUACUCGAGUGGCGAACGGGUGAGUAACACGUGAGUAACCUGCCCUUGACUUUGGGAUAACUUCAGGAAACUGGGGUUAAUACCGGAUAGGAGCUCCUGCUGCAUGGUGGGGGUUGGAAAGUUUCGGCGGUUGGGGAUGGACUCGCGGCUUAUCAGCUUGUUGGUGGGGUAGUGGCUUACCAAGGCUUUGACGGGUAGCCGACCUGAGAGGGUGACCGGCGACAUUGGGACUGAGAUACGGCCCAGACGCCUACUGGAGGCAGCAGUGGGGAAUAUUGCACAAUGGGUGGAAGCCGGAUGCAGCAACGCCGUGGGCGGGAUGACGGCCUUCGGGUUGUAAACCGCUUUCGCUCAUGACGAAGCUUUGUGUGACGGUAGUGGGUAAAGAAGCACCGGCUAACUACGUG